rnacentral:pre_miRNA from 1 species
AGUAGAAUUGCUUGGUCAUACAGUAAUUUUAUGUUUAACUUCUUGAGGAACUGCCAAAAUGUUUUCCAAAGUGACUGCACUGUUUUGUAUUCCCAACAGCAAU